rnacentral:lncRNA from 1 species
GGGGCGGGGGCCGGGGCUCGCCGAGCGCCGCGGAGGGAGCUCCGCCCGCGGCCGGCGAGGGCGCCCGGAGAGUUAGCAAGGAGAGGGACAGGAAGGCGGGUGAUGGGCUGGGGCGAGGGUGCGGGGGCUCCGAUCCACCGUCCUCCCCUCCCCUCCAGGCAGAUCUGGAUCGCCGGCGCCUGGGCUUAGGGAACUGGGGCUUGGAGCCCGCGGUCCACGGGCGCAGGGGCGGGGCGGGCGGGGGCUGCUGAAGAAGAUCCCUCCCCACCACCGGAGAGCCCCUAUUGCGCCAAGCGCAGGGCCGGAGUUAAGAUGAGUCCAGCGAAGUGCCUAGAGUACCAAAUUCAUGGAGACGUUUCCUCUUUGGGGAACACACGCCAACCCCAGAGACAGCUUUGGUCUGAAUCGUGCAGGUUCCGGGAAGACACGGUGACCAGCUGAAUCGUGUGGUCUCGGUCCAAAGGCAUUGGCUCCUGUGGGACAUGAAACUUUUAAGCCAGGAUCGUUCCUGCACCCACCUGAUGGGGAUUUCAUCUGGCAUCUGAGUGGUACUGCUCUGCCGGAAGAGGCAAAGAUUCCUGCCAAGAAGAGCAUUGCGUGCUGUGCUAGCAAGUGGAAGUUCCUGAGCUGUAUCCUUCAGAGUAGGUCAAUGCCAAGUGUGGCUUAUGGUCAGCCGCUGAGCCUGAGUGUGUAUUGAACCUAAGAAGACUCCCUUGUGGACAUGGCAGUGGGUGAUAAGCAAGGGAGUGAUGUGAGUAGAUUUGCACUGUGAAAACAUUCUCCCUCUGGUUACUCCCAGGUGCAAGGGGACAAGAGAGAAAAACAGACCAUGUGGGAGAUUAUCAUGGUCAUGUUGGCACACAGAAAGUCCUCAAUCAGAUAGCUGUAAUUAUGUAUCUGUGGAGAUGUGUGAUCUGUGAGACAGAAUGAGGACUUCCUAUAGGAACAUUAGGAGAAACACUUAGUCUGCAAUAUUCCAAAAGGUAGUGGUAUAUAACAUAAUUUUAGGUGUUAAGUAAAUAAAGAUGUUUUGAUUAUCUAUCACUGCAUAACAAACCACCCCAAAACAGCAGCUUAAAAGAAAAUUAUUAUUUAUUUUCUCACAGUUUUGCAGUUUGGGUUGCUCUCAGCUGAGAUAGCUCAGCUCUUGUCUGUAUGGCGUCAGCUGGGGUGGCACAAACAGCUGGGAGCUGGCGUAGACUUGACUGUGUGUCUAUGGGCUUGGUUCUCACUGUCAGCUGGGUUUUUUCAUUCUCUCCUACAUGAUCUCUCCAUGUAGCUAGCGUAGGCUUCCUUACAUAAUAGUGGUCUCAAGGUAGUCAGAGUUCUUACAUGGCAGGCAACUUUCCCCAGAGCACAAAAGAAAAAGCUGCUGGAUCAUCUUAAAACUGAGGCUUGGAACUGGCCUGGCAUUGCUUCUGCUGCAUUCUAUUGCUUAGUGCAGGUCAUGGGCCAGCCUGGAUUCAAGGGGAGGGGUCUAUAUAAGGAUAUGAAUACCAGGAGGCAUGUGUCAUUGGGGGCAACUAGAGUAACACUCCCCCAUCAGCUACACUACAUUUAUCUCUGUACCUAUAUACACACAUAUCUAUAUGUGUUUAUUCAUU